rnacentral:rRNA from 1 species
CGUGCCUAACACAUGCAAGUCGAACGGACCUUAAGCCCUUCGGGACUUAACUUAGUGGCGAACGGGUGAGUAACGCGUGAGGAACCUGCCUUUCAGUGGGGGACAACAGUUGGAAACGACUGCUAAUACCGCAUGAUGCUUUUGAGAGACAUCUCUUGGAAGCCAAAGCUUAAUGUGCUGAAAGAUGGCCUCGCGUCUGAUUAGCUAGUUGGUGGGGUAACGGCUCACCAAGGCGACGAUCAGUAGCCGGUCUGAGAGGAUGAACGGCCACAUUGGGACUGAGAUACGGCCCAGACUCCUACGGGAGGCAGCAGUGGGGAAUAUUGGGCAAUGGGCGAAAGCCUGACCCAGCAACGCCGCGUGAAGGAAGAAGGCUUUCGGGUUGUAAACUUCUUUUACCAGGGACGAAGGACGUGACGGUACCUGGAGAAAAAGCAACGGCUAACUACGUGCCAGCAGCCGCGGUAAUACGUAGGUUGCAAGCGUUGUCCGGAUUUACUGGGUGUAAAGGGCGUGUAGGCGGAGAUGCAAGUUAGGAGUGAAAUCUAUGGGCUCAACCCAUAAACUGCUUCUAAAACUGUAUCCCUUGAGUAUCGGAGAGGCAAGCGGAAUUCCUAGUGUAGCGGUGAAAUGCGUAGAUAUUAGGAGGAACACCAGUGGCGAAGGCGGCUUGCUGGACGACAACUGACGCUGAGGCGCGAAAGCGUGGGGAGCAAAACAGGAUUAGAUACCCUGGUAGUCCACCCUGUAAACGAUGACUGGUAGGUGUCGGGUAGCAGAGCUAUUGAGUGCCGCAGCGGACGCAAUAAGCAGUCCACCUGGGGAGUUCGUUUGCAAGAAUGAAAACUCAAGUGAAUUGACGGGGUCCCGCUCAAGCGGUGGAGCAUGUGGUUUAAUUCGAAGCAACGCGAAGAACCUUUCCGGAUCUUGACAUCCCGAUGACCGCUUCGUAAUGGAAGCUUUUGUUCGGAACAUCGGUGACAGGUGGUGCAUGGUUGUCGUCAGCUCGUGUCGUGAGAUGUUGGGUUAAGUCCCGCAACGAGCGCAACCCCUAUCUUCAGUAGCCCGCAAGUUAAGUUGGGCACUCUGGAGAGACUGCCAGGGAUAACCUGGAGGAAGGUGGGGAUGACGUCAAAUCAUCAUGCCCCUUAUGGCCAGGGCUACACACGUGCUACAAUGGCGUAAACAAAGAGAAGCGAACCUGCGAGGGUAAGCAAAUCUCAAAAAUAACGUCUCAGUUCGGAUUGUAGUCUGCAACUCGACUACAUGAAGCUGGAAUCGCUAGUAAUCGCAGAUCAGAAUGCUGCGGUGAAUACGUUCCCGGGUCUUGCACAC